rnacentral:rRNA from 1 species
GACGAACGCUGGCGGCGUGCUUAACACAUGCAAGUCGAACGGAAAGGCCCUGCUUUUGUGGGGUGCUCGAGUGGCGAACGGGUGAGUAACACGUGAGUAACCUGCCCUUGACUUUGGGAUAACUUCAGGAAACUGGGGCUAAUACCGGAUAGGAGCUCCUGCUGCAUGGUGGGGGUUGGAAAGUUUCGGCGGUUGGGGAUGGACUCGCGGCUUAUCAGCUUGUUGGUGGGGUAGUGGCUUACCAAGGCUUUGACGGGUAGCCGGCCUGAGAGGGUGACCGGCCACAUUGGGACCGAGAUACGGCCCAGACUCCUACGGGAGGCAGCAGUGGGGAAUAUUGCACAAUGGGCGGAAGCCUGAUGCAGCAACGCCGCGUGCGGGAUGACGGCCUUCGGGUUGUAAACCGCUUUCACCUGUGACGAAGCGUGAGUGACGGUAAUGGGUAAAGAAGCACCGGCUAACUACGUG